GAUGAAGAACGCAGCGAAAUGCGAUAAGUAGUGUGAAUUGCAGAAGUACCGUGAAUCAUCGAAUCUUUGAACGCAAAUUGCACUCUCUGGUAUUCCGGGGAGUAUGCCUGUUUGAGGGUCGCUUAACAAACCAUCGAUUUCGUUGCUUUUUUUUUAAAAAAGUGAUGUUUAUCGGAUUUGAGCCGUCUUUUUUUUUUUUAUUUUUAAGUGGCUUAAAAUUGAUUUUUUUUGGUACGAUCGAAGCGUAUUUUUAUGAUCAAUUUUUGGUUAAAGAAACGCACACGUACCGUUAUUUAUAUGAUGUAAUACGUUUGACUAUCGGAUUUAGUUCAUUCGUAUACGAUAUUUUUCAAUAUUUGACCUCAAAUCAGGUAAGAACACCCGCUGAACUUAAGCAUAUCAAUAAGCGGAGGA
rnacentral:misc_RNA from 1 species